rnacentral:rRNA from 1 species
UUUGGACUAGGGGCCCUUCUCGGGUUACCGAAUUCAGAUAAACUCCGAAUGCCAUGUACUUAUACUCGGGAGUCAGACUGCGAGUGAUAAGAUCCGUAGUCGAAAGGGAAACAGCCCAGACCACCAGUUAAGGUCCCCAAAUAUAUGUUAAGUGGAAAAGGAUGUGGGGUUGCUUAGACAACCAGGAUGUUGGCUUAGAAGCAGCCACCAUUGAAAGAGUGCGUAAUAGCUCACUGGUCGAGUGACCCCGCGCCGAAAAUGUACCGGGGCUAAACAUAUUACCGAAACUGUGGAUGAACCUCUUUAGAGGUUCGUGGUAGGAGAGCGUUCUAAGGGCGGUGAAGUCAGACCGGAAGGACUGGUGGAGCGCUUAGAAGUGAGAAUGCCGGUAUGAGUAGCGAAAGAAGGGUGAGAAUCCCUUCCACCGAAUAUCUAAGGUUUCCUGAGGAAGGCUCGUCCGCUCAGGGUUAGUCGGGACCUAAGCCGAGGCCGAUAGGCGUAGGCGAUGGACAACAGGUAGAGAUUCCUGUACCAGUGCUAAUUGUUUAACCGAUGGGGUGACACAGAAGGAUAGGGAAUCGCACGAAUGGAAAUGUGCGUCCAAGCAGUGAGUGUGAGAAGUAGGCAAAUCCGCUUCUCGCGAAGCAUGAGCUGUGAUGGGGAAGGAAAUUAAGUACGGAAGUUCCUGAUUUCACGCUGUCAAGAAAAGCCUCUAGGAAGAGUAGUACUGCCCGUACCGCAAACCGACACAGGUAGAUGAGGAGAGAAUCCUAAGGUGAGCGAGAGAACUCUCGUUAAGGAACUCGGCAAAAUGACCCCGUAACUUCGGGAGAAGGGGUGCUCUAUUAGGGUGCAAGCCCGAGAGAGCCGCAGUGAAUAGGCCCAGGCGACUGUUUAGCAAAAACACAGGUCUCUGCAAAACCGUAAGGUGACGUAUAGGGGCUGACGCCUGCCCGGUGCUGGAAGGUUAAGAGGAGUGCUUAGCUUCGGCGAAGGUACGAAUUGAAGCCCCAGUAAACGGCGGCCGUAACUAUAACGGUCCUAAGGUAGCGAAAUUCCUUGUCGGGUAAGUUCCGACCCGCACGAAAGGCGCAACGAUCUGGGCACUGUCUCAACGAGAGACUCGGUGAAAUUAUAGUACCUGUGAAGAUGCAGGUUACCCGCGACAGGACGGAAAGACCCCGUGGAGCUUUACUGCAACCUGAUAUGGAAUGUUUGUACCGCUUGUACAGGAUAGGUAGGAGCCGAAGAGACGUGUGCGCUAGCAUACGAGGAGGCAAUGGUGGGAUACUACCCUGGCUGUAUGACCAUUCUAACCCGCCACGCUUAGCGCGUGGGGAGACAGUGUCAGGUGGGCAGUUUGACUGGGGCGGUCGCCUCCUAAAGAGUAACGGAGGCGCCCAAAGGUUCCCUCAGAAUGGAUGGAAAUCAUUCGCAGAGUGUAAAGGCACAAGGGAGCUUGACUGCGAGACUGACAAGUCGAGCAGGGACGAAAGUCGGGCUUAGUGAUCCGGUGGUUCCGCAUGGAAGGGCCAUCGCUCAACGGAUAAAAGCUACCCCGGGGAUAACAGGCUUAUCUCCCCCAAGAGUCCACAUCGACGGGGAGGUUUGGCACCUCGAUGUCGGCUCGUCGCAUCCUGGGGCUGUAGUCGGUCCCAAGGGUUGGGCUGUUCGCCCAUUAAAGCGGCACGCGAGCUGGGUUCAGAACGUCGUGAGACAGUUCGGUCCCUAUCCGUCGCGGGCGCAGGAAAUUUGAGAGGAGCUGUCCUUAGUACGAGAGGACCGGGAUGGACACACCGCUGGUGUACCAGUUGUUCCGCCAGGAGCAUCGCUGGGUAGCUAUGUGUGGCAGGGAUAAACGCUGAAAGCAUCUAAGCGUGAAGCCCCCCUCAAGAUGAGAUUUCCCAUUUCUUCGGAAAGUAAGAUCCCUGAAAGAUGAUCAGGUAGAUAGGUUUGGAGUGGAAGUGUAGCGAUACAUGGAGCGGACAAAUACUAAUCGAUCGAGGACUUAACCAAAA